CUACGGGGGCACCAGUGGGGAAUAUUGCACAAUGGGCGCAAGCCUGAUGCAGCCAUGCCGCGUGUAUGAAGAAGGCCUUCGGGUUGUAAAGUACUUUCAGCGGGGAGGAAGGGAGUAAAGUUAAUACCUUUUCUCAUUGACGUUACCCGCAGAAGAAGCACCGGCUAACUCCGUGCCAGCAGCCGCGGUAAUACGGAGGGUGCAAGAGUUAAUCGGAAUUACUGGGCGUAAAGCGCACGCAGGCGGUUUGUUAAGUCAGAUGUGAAAUCCCCGGGCUCAACCUGGGAACUGCAUCUGAUACUGGCAAGCUUGAGUCUCGUAGAGGGGGGUAGAAUUCCAGGUGUAGCGGUGAAAUGCGUAGAGAUCUGGAGGAAUACCGGUGGCGAAGGCGGCCCCCUGGACGAAGACUGACGCUCAGGUGCGAAAGCGUGGGGAGCAAACAGGAUUAGAUACCCCAGUAGUC
rnacentral:rRNA from 1 species